rnacentral:rRNA from 1 species
UACGAAGGGUGCAAACGUUGCUCGGAAUUAUUGGGCGUAAAGCGCACGUAGGCGGCUUGGCAAGUCGGAUGUGAAAUCCCUCGGCUUAACCGGGGAACUGCAUCUGAUACUGGAUGGCUUGAGUUCGGGAGAGGGAUGCGGAAUUCCAGGUGUAGCGGUGAAAUGCGUAGAUAUCUGGAGGAACACCGGUGGCGAAGGCGGCAUCCUGGACCGACACUGACGCUGAGGAGCGAAAGCCAGGGGAGCAAACGGG